GUUAUGGUUCCCACAUUAGUGCAAGACAAGUUCUUCUUCCUCCCAUUGAAUCAAGAACAAAACAAUCCAUUGUCUUGCAAAUAGUGUAGAAAACCAUAAGCCAAAUUUUGAUUAUUGUCAUAACACUAUUAUUGUGAACCUUUCAUGUAUUGUUUUAGUAUUGUGGAUUCAUUCUUGUGGUGACAAUCAUACUUCAAGAAAACUUGAAGGAAGGCUAAAGGAGUUCACAACAACUCAAGGACAAUCAUGAAAAGGAGGUUCAUCAAAUUCCACAUAUGGAUUCAGGUUAGCUUCCGCUCAUGUAGUUGUAAUUCCGGAUUAUUCAAUAUGAAGAUUAUUGUCUUUAGUAGGAAUCAUAAUCCUAACACCAUCAACUGAUAUAUGCUAGAAUAGAACUCUUUCUGUAGCAUUAUGUCCUUCAUGGUGGGAGUGAUAUAAUAUAUAUUUAUCUAAUAUUGAAAAUUCUUUUUACUUAUCAGGAAUAAUUAAAUAGGUGACAUGGAUAUAAGUUGACCUAUGACUUAUUGAAAAGCAUUGUAGAAAUAAAAGAUUACCUUUAUCUGAUAAAAGUUUUACUAUGGAUUUGUGCUACAGAUAUUCAAUAUAUAUAUGCAAAAAGAUAUUAUUUAUAUUUUAGCCAAUGUGAUUUUAAAGGAUGAUAUUAGAUUCCCUCUGAAAGCAUUGGUAAUGAAAGAACGAUUUGAAAAAUUUAGAUUCUUGAAUACACUUUGUGAGUUUUAGUCACUAGAAUUCUUUAAUAUAUUUGGUAUUCCUUUUGUUUAUUUGAUGGCAUUUUCCGAUUAUUGAUAUUCAAUAAUAAUACAAAUAAGCGGAUUUCUCUAUCUUUAAUUUUGGAAAUUAUCUGGCAUUGUUGUUUGGUAGAAGUAAGUUAUUGCUCGCGUCCUUUAUUAGAUAUUCGUUGCAUCUUUUGUAUGAUUGCGCACUUAAUAUAUUGUGGUCUUCUCUUUCUUCUUUAAUGAUUUUUUCUUUGUUCCUAUACUGACAGAAACUUGUUCAUUCAUCAGAUAAAGAUUUGAAAGUUUGGAGAUCCUAUUCUUGAAUAAAGUACAAAGCAGUUUGAAGAACAAGAAGUUUUUAUUUUGCUAGGAGAGAUUUAAACACAAUAAUUUAUGUACAUAUUUUAUAUUCAGUUCUCUUUUUAGGAGUUGAUAAAAAUGAUGUCAAGCAAUGUGAAUAGAUAUACUUUCUGGUAGUGUGAUGCUUUAGUUCGUUGUAAUAACAAUGAAGUUUUCAUGAAUACUGAUUAAUUACUUGGUUUACUUUCGGAUGUGUCUAUGUGUCUAAAAUUGUAAGAAAUAAUUAAGUGUUACUAUUUGGUAAUAUAUAAUUUUUUGUAAUUAUAUAUUUCAAAUGAGCGAAGAAAAAUUUGGCUCUUAAAAAUAUUUUUGUCGAAAGUGGCACACAAUUAGUGAAGGGAGUUUUGGUCGUCAAACGCACUUGUAUCGGCAGAAUUAGUUGUUCGGCAAUAACACUUCUAACGAUGGGAUGAUUCAGGAGCAACGAAAAAUCAUGUCGUCAUAAAGCACGUAUAGUCGUUAAAGAAUCUUUAACGAACGGAUCUCAAUUUUUUCGUUAACUUAAUGAUCGGUCAUGACCGAAUUAUUCUCCAUCGUUUUUGACUUAUUAACAGUCGAAUUUGGACUUUUAACGACUGAAUUUUUCUUCACUAAAAACUAAUUUUCUUGUAAUGAUAGUUACGAAUAUGAAGCCAUGAUGUAUGCUUUCUUCUAACGACCUUCCAGAAGAUAAUAAACUAAAAUACGAUAAGCAUCUUCUGAACACAUGAAAAUAUGAUAAGUUGACGCAAAUAAUUUGUAGCUCCAACCAAUACAAAUCUUCUAAUUUUCCCAUGUCAAUUAAAACAAAAAGAGAAGAAGAAACUAAUAACGCAACCUACGUGGAGCAAAUAUUUUAGAGACAAAAAAGAAACAUGAAACAAUAAAAAAUUGUUACAGCAACAAUACGAAAAUAUUCAUUUGGUUUAGGGCUUUAUCUUUAUUUUCAAAUUGUAAUGCAUUUGCGCAGUGAAUAGAGGAAAAUUGAGGAAGUUACGCUAACUUUGGAUGGUAGAGAGAGAAACUCUAACUAAUAUUGUAUAUAUAAACAACCCCCCACCCCCAGCAUGACAUCAUCCACCCCCCUCCCCCCACACACAAAAGACUCAAUACCCUCAUUACUAUCGGAACCCCUCGAUCCGCAGGACCUUAACAACAUUCAGAUUGAUGUGAAAACAACAAUCAAGAACACCUUCAAGGAAAUCUUACCAGAAAAAUAAAUGUUUGCUAUCCCCAAUACCAUCAGGCAGAAACAAAGCUCGAAGCGGUCUCAAACGUAGGAAAUAUCGAGCCAAUCCUACUGUCGCAGGAGCAAAAGCUCAGGAUUUACCAACCAUAGAAAUUCUCACCUACCAUUAAGGUAUUUGGAAGGGAAAUCCCCCAUCACCUCUUGCGGACCAAGCUCCAGCAGCUUUGGAACCCAACUGAACAACUUAUCCUAAUUGAUCUAAGAUAGGACUUCUUCGUAGUGAAGUCUACAAAAGAGAAAAAUGUGACCAGUGCGCUGCACAGGGGAGCAUGGUUCGUUAUGGACACUUCCUCUCUGUUCGGAACUUGGAGCCAAACUUUAUACCUGCAAACAUAAGGAUACAAGCCACACCUAUAUGGAUUAAGCUACUGAUCCACGUCCAAUCCGUAUUUAAUAGUGAGUAGAAAUGAUCAUUGGAAGAAUAGUCCUAACAAGAGUCAGAGUCGAUUUUUACAGGAAGUUUAAUAAGGAUGUUAGGGUGUACACUUGAUGAGAGUAAAUUAAAUAACUCAAUUGUGCUUCCAAACAAGGGAUUUUAUUUUUUACUUCUAAAUUAACAGUAACAAUUAUAAAUUAAUGAGAAGAAACUAGAAAGCAAGUAAUUAUUUUUGUUAUUUUUGUUAAAUGGGUAAAAAGCCUAGGGAUGUGACCUUUACCUAAGUGUUCGCCUAAUAGGUUAAGUACGUCAACACUUAUUUUAUUGAUUGUGGUGUAUUAUAGCUCUCAACUCUAAGUUACCCACUCAAUGCCUCUCUGUCAUGUACAGAGUCAUUUUGCCUAAUUUGACUUUCUUAAGCCCAAAUGGACAUCAAGCUAAACAGUUGAUAUGAGAUCAAGUGUGAUUUUUCUAUCUCUAGUUCAAACCCUUUAAUUAAACUAGUCAAAUCUUCAACUAGUCCAAUUUCGUGUUAGCCAAGUAUUCUUAGACUAGGUCCCUCUUUCUCAAGUAAAAAUCAAGUCAAAAAGGCAUGGAUCAAUAUAUGCAACCAUUAAUUAUAAAAUUAAAGUAUGAACAAGGCUAAAUAACAAACACCCAAUCAUAAACACACAUUAAAUUAAAUACCUAUAAGGUUUACACACUAUGAUUGGGUGACAACCCUAGUAAAUAUCUAGCUACUUAUAGUAGAAAAUGAAGAAAACAAAGAAGAAAUACUAACUAAACUCACAAUAUAAAACAAAAAUGAUAAACUAUGAUGUUUUUAUCCCAAAAUGAUCACAAAUUUCCUAAAAUGGAAACUUAUAAUGACCGUAGCGACUAGAGCUUUUAAACUUGACCUAAAAAUGUGAUUCUCGUCUAUUAGUAGCGGCUCAAAAUUCGCAGAUAAAAAUUCCCCUUGCAAGGUUCUGCGGCCGCAAAAUUUCAUGUGCGGUCCGCACAUUGCUUGAGUUUUCAGGGGAGUGGAUUCUGUAGCCCCACAAUUUGGUCUGUGGUUAUGAUUUCGUUUCUGCAGCUGCACAAUUUAUGUUAGGUACUUACUUCAGGCAAGGCUUUAGUCUUGGUCAUUUGCGCACGCUCUGAACUUUUUGAAUUCUUGUUAGUGCGGACCAUGUUCUGUGGUCGCACAAAAUGUGUGCAGUACGCACUUCUGCUUCAAGUAGUAGUAGGCUUCUUCAUCAGUUCUGCGGUCGUAGAGAGAAUUCUACAGUCCGCACUUGCUUUUAUGGCCGCAGAAGCACUUCUGCUGACCGCGCUUCCAGUAUGUUGUGCCCCUUCUUGCCUUGUGAGUUGGAACACUACUUUUUGAGUCAGAUUUCUUUAUUUUAGCUCAAAUCUCCAAUAUUCUCGCAAUUUGCGCAUUUUCAUUAAUUUUGUGAAAAUAAAUCAAUACUUUUGGACUAAAAUAAAAGUAAAAAAGCACUAAUAAGUGGUCAAAAUCCGCACUUAUCAACUCCGCUAAACUUAAGUCAUUGCUUGUCUUCAAACAAAUAGAAUAGUUCCCACCUCUAUAAAGUGAAAAUCUAUUUCGGGGAGUCAAUGGUGAGACAUUCAUACUCAGUUGGGACCAAUAAUUAUCAACAUUACUCAUGCAUUAUCAAUAAGGAGACAAGUCAAAUAUUCAUGCACAUAAAGUUCUUAUGUGACAUUUGAGCUUAAAGAAUUGACUUUACUCAUCAACUUGAGCUUCAACAAUUCAAAAUCUCUCAUGCAAUCAUCAUUGAAAUUUAACUUAGCAUCCUUCUCAAAAAACAUGUACAACGGGUUCACCACUUUAGAGAAAUUUUUUAUAAAACCUCGUUAAGAACUCGCAUGGCCUAAGAAACUCCCCACACCUUUCACCGAAGUUGAGGGUGGAAGCUUAGAAAUUACCUUAAUCUUUGCCUUGUCAACUUCAAUCCCAUUCCUUGAUAUUUUAUCUACAAGGGCAAUACCUUCCUCAACCAUGAAAUGGCACUUCUCGCAAUUGAGUACCAAAUUAGUUUCUUCACAUCUAGCCAACUUUUUGUUCAAAUUUUCAAGACAAUCAUCAAAAUAAUUUUCCCAACCACUAAGAAGUCAUCCAUAAAAACUUCAAGGUAGUCCUCCACUAUGUCCAUGAAAAUAGCCAUCAUACACCUUAAAAAAGUUAUCGGUGCAUUGCAUAAACCAAAUGACAUACUCUUAAAAGCAAAAGUAACAUAGGGACAUGUAAAAGUUGCUUUCUCUUGAUCUUCCGAAGCAAUGCGAAUUUCACUGUAGCCCAAGUACCCAUCAAGAAAAUAAUAUAAAGCACGACCAGCCAAUCUAUCGAGCAUUUGAUCUAAGAAAGGAAGUGGGAAAAUGGUCCUUCCCUGAUACUUUAUUGAGCUUGUGAUAAUCCGUACAGCACCAUCCAACCGGUUAUUGUUCUUGUGGGAAUCAAUUCAUUCUUGUCACUGGUGACCACCGUCAUGCCUCCUUCUUUGGGGCUCAUUGAAUCGACGAAGUUCAUGAACUAUUGGAGAUGGGUAGACAAAUCUGGUAUCCAACCACUUGAUAAUCUCUUUUUUAAUAACUUAUUGUAUAGCCUCAUUUAUUCUUCUUUGAUGUUCAAUAUAUGGUUUAUCUCCAUACUCCAACUUGAUCUUAUGCAUGCAAAAGUCGGGGAUUAUACCCUGAAUAUCCGCCAAGGUCAACCCAGUAGCCAUCUUCCUCUUUUGUAGCACCUUCGAUGUGGAAUUUACCAUCAUGUUAGUCAAACAUGAGGAAUCAAUAACCGGUAAAGUAGAACAAGGGCCAAAAUAUUCUUAACUCCAAGGUAGGUGGCUCUUCAAUAGAAGGCUAUGUAGUAGGAGUCUUCCCCAUAUCAAAAAAAAUGUCUCCUAAGAAUAAUUGGCACUUCAUAAUCAAUCUCAUAAUCUAUAAUGACAAUAUCCGCCAGAAGAAUGAAUUUAUUAACUUAGACCAGAACAUCUUCAAUCACACCCAAUACACAUUUCAUAGUACAAUCGACCAUUUGAAAUCUCAUCGAAGUGGGCCUUGGUUGUCCAAUCCCCAAAGUCUUGAAAAUCGAAUAGUGCAUCAAAUUUAUACUUGCCCCAAGAUCACAAAGAGCAUUAGCAAACUCGACACUUACAAUUAUAGAAGAAAUCGUGAAAGCAUCAAGAUCCUCCAACUUUGGAGCCGUUGAAUUAGCAAUUGCACUCACUUGCUAAGUGAAUUUGAAAAUGUCGAAAUUCAUUGACCUCUUCUUUGUCACAAGAUCUUUCAUAAAUUUCAUCACCGGGCAUUUGUUCCAAAGCUUCGACCAAUGACACAUUGAUUGAGAGACUCUUCCUAUAUUUGAAUCAAUUUCUUGAAUUAAUUCUCACCAUUUAUCUUGGCAAGUCUUUGAGGGUAUGGAGGUGAAGGCUUAGGCUAUUGUGCCUUUUCCUUUUGCACUACCGGCUCCAGUAUGUCAAUGAUGUGUUCCCUAGACGGAUUCACCUCCUCUUGAGUCUCUUCCACACUAUCAUCAAUAUAAAUUCGAACUUCCUUAUUUGGCUGGACAACAUUAUUCGUGAACUCUUAUUCUUGCAUUACUUGAUCAUCAUCAGCAAGUAGCCUUCCACUUGAGGUGGGUGCAUUCCUGACACUUCCACUUCUUAUAAUAACCGCCAUGGCAUGCCCUGUAUUGUUACUACCCUUUGGGUUUAUCACCGUGGCACUUGGUACUGCACCCUAAGGACCAGAAUUUAGUGUUUGAGAGAUUUUCCCCAAUUGAACAUCUAGGUUGCGGAUUGAUGUGUUGUGAGAGGCAAAUUAGGCCUCUAAAUCGUCAUUCUUUUCCAUUCUUUUCUUGAACAUGUUCUCAAUAUGUCCCAUCUUAUUGUUUGAAGAACUUGAAUCAUGGGAAUAAUAAGGAGGUGGGUUGCUCGGAUGUUGAUACAUUGGGGGCCUUUGAAAACCCGACCCCUGCUUACAUUGAUUGUUACCCCAAGCACCUUGGUUGUUGGUUUCCCAAUUUUCUUGGUUGUUUCCACCCCAAAUUUCCUUGAUUGUUGUUGUUAAGCAAAUUUCUUUGAUUGUUAGAAUUCCAAUUUCUAAGAUUGUUUUGUGGUUGCCAUUGUUGUUGGUUCGGGCCUUGGAAGUUGUUUCUUUGCCCUUGAAAAUUGUUCACAUAUUACACUUCUUCGUCUUGCUCAUUAUAAGAAUCAUCUUGAUCAAAACAACUAUCAUUUUGUACAUAGUUCUCCACUCAGGUUUGCACUCGUGGACCCUUUGCCCUUCUUUUGUUCACAAAAACAUUCACUCCCUCCAUAGCAUGAACUUGCUAAGGAGCUUGCACUUGAUUUACUUGGCCUUUGUUAGUUGAGUCAUUGUAGUCAAUUCGAAUACGACAUGCCCAUGGUCUUGUAAUUCUUUGUGAAGCUGGAUCAUAUACAGGUCACCUUGUGGAACGUUUGCUCGGGAUUGCCUAGUCGAUGAUGUUUCCGCCAUCUCAUCCAAGAUUUCACACGCCUCUGUAUAAGACAUAGUUAUAAAGUUCCCACUGGCUGGUUAAUUCACUACACAUUCAUUGGUUGUGUUAAUCCCACGAUAAAAGGUUUGUUGAAUCAUGCUUUCCGUCAUAUUGUUGUUGGGACAAUCCUUAAUGAUUGUUCUAUAGAGCUCCCAUAUUUCGUGUAGUGGCUCAUUCAGCUCUUGCUUGAAUUCAAAGAUCUCAUCUCGAAGUAUAGCAAUGUGUCCGGGAGAGAAAAAUAUAGCAAUGAACUUGGCUGCCAAAUCAUACCAAGUGUGAAUUGAGUGAUUCGACAAUCGCUCUAACCAAUCUAAAGCUUUCCCCCACAGAGAGAAGGGGAAAAGCCUUAGCCUCAAUGCAUCCGCAGAAACAUUAGGGUUUUCCUCCCCCAAUAUGCAUCCACAAAGUCGUUCAAAUGUUUAUAAGCAUUUUGAGUUGGAGCACUAAUUAACAAAUCACAUUUGUGAUUUUGAAGUUGUUUGCCGUAAGACAAGGAGGGACUAUUGCACUUGCAUAUCCUUCAUUGGGCAAUAUCCGGUGUGGAGCUGCUCGUAGUAGAGGUACGAGUGGAACGGGCACAUUGUCAUGUGGUACCAGCUUCUCCGAUUGGCUUGAGGCUCAAUAGGUACCUCCUCUACUUGUUCCUCCUCGCCGUCCAAUUCCCCCAAAGAAAAAUUUUUGAGCUUAUUGUUCGGCAUGUUUGUACCCAUAAUUUCUUAAACAAAUUAGUUACACGUAAGGGAAAGAAGAUAUUACAAAAACACUCUUAAAUAUAUAGCUAACACCAUUUUAAAUCCCCGGUAACGGCGCCAAAAAAUGAUCCACAUCUAAUCCGCAUUGAAAUUCAGCUAAAUCCUUCAUAAGCUCAUGUAACACAAACCAUAUAACACCUCAAAUGGUCUUCUAAGCUCGCAUUCAUCCUCGUGACGGUCAAGUCAACUUCCUCGAGCGAUCCAAACCAUAUCGCAACACACAUAACCUACCGGUAACAAGAAACCCUCCAUACAACCAUCAUAAGGGUCAUAGUCCCGUAGAUUACCCUGCAGGUCACUACCCACAUGCUUAGCUUCAAACUAACAUCUCUCUAUACCCUUUCACAGCCACAACUGCUAUGCAAUCACUUAAUCUUCCAGAGUCUAAACUAAUAACAAGACAUGAAAAUCAACUUCACUCCACAAUUAAACAACUUGAAAGAUUCCCUCAACACUCCCAUAAAUCGAGCCAAUACCUCAAAUCAAGAUAGAUAUCAAACACCCAAUUGUCCUUUUUACAUCUCAAGAAAACUCUUCUUGUCACAUUUAAACCAUAUGGACAUAUCUCGCAGUCAUAUCAUACCCAUCAUUUAUCCAUCCAGCCAUUCAUCGAGCGACGAAUUUCGUUAAUAGGGACACUACCGGACUUAUAAGUCCAAAAGCAUGUGCUCACACAACCAAAAUCCCCGUGCCUGAGCUACAGUAAAAAUCCAUCCUCAAAUGCUCUAGACUGGCCUAUCAUCAGCACACAAAAAUCACAUCUCACACCCCACUAAAGGAAUUAAAAGUCGUCGAUGCACAACUGAUAUCGAGCACUCAUGUGCAUAUACAAAGGCAUGGAAGGAAUUCAAAGAGUUAUGCUUCAAGCUGAAUCAAUCCCGCACGAUAAAGAAAGAAAGAUUGAAAAUUUAUCCUAAAUAUUUUAUAGCUUCUCGAAGAUAGGUAUGGACGUCAUUAUAUCGAUCCGCAAGACUCUACUGGACACUUGCUCAUGACUUGUUUUAUCAAUAUACCUAAAGCUCUGAUAACAACUUAUCACGAUCUAAAAUCCAACUAGUCAUGAUGUCACCUAAUCCAAUCUGCUAGGUAAGCCAGUUAACAGCUAUUCAAUUUAAUAAGACUUAUCAGGAGAAGAAAUAAUAAUACAACUAUUUAACAUAAGAAUUUUCCCAAGACCGGUAAUACAAAUUAUGAGCUUCUAAGAUUAGAAUUUACAAUGCUGGUGUGAAAUAAAAAUACAUCAUUUAUCCGAAUAAUACAUAAACAAAUUAAUAAUUCUAAAUCUACCAAGAACAAGAGGCAGAUGUGAUUGGAAUGCAGGUGUGACUUCCGAUCCAGCUCCCGCCAUGCGCAGUACUAUUAUCAUCCAACAUUUGCACGCAAGGUGUAUAAGUGUAGUAUGAGUACCACCGACCCCAUGCACUCAAUAAGUAACAAACCUAACUUUAGGUUGAAAGUAGUGACGAGCUUGAAAAAAGUUCGGGUCCGACACCUUAGCUAACAAUAGUUCAUAACAACAUAGUGCAAGUAAUAAAAGAAGUAUCACAGAGACAGAAUGGUCAACUCGUUCACAGUUCCAUAAAAUAAGCAUUCUUUUCAAGUAUCUCAGUGAAAACCCAAAUCUUUUACUGAAUUUGCCAAGAAAAUAUGAGUAAGCUUGAAAACUGUGAUUUCCUAAAAAUCCUUUCAACAAUAAAUAUGACGUUUUAUUUUCAGAUAGCGUGAGGAAAGUACAUCUCUUUGACUACAUGUCAAUAUACAGGUAAAAUUAUGAAUGUUACUAAAAUUGGGUAGCAGAAGGAAAUGCAUCUCUAAGCAUGUAUCUCAAGUAUGCAUGUCAAAUACAAUGUAUCUCAGUGGAAUCACACUCUCAGAGUACUCAAUCUCAGUAUCCCGCUUUAUUAGUUUGUAUAAGUCCAUCAAACUGUAGAAUACCUAGUCCUCUAUGAGAUAAUGUUGAGAAUGCUAAUAAAACUAAAAGUAAAUAAGACAAGAGAUUUUUACGUGGAAAAUCCCACUCAAGGGGAUCGAUAAACUACGACCUACACUUGUAGGCUUUUAGCUUCACUAACUUGCAAUCUCACUAUUACAAACCCUUUGUAAUAACCCUAUUACAAAGACUUAAACUAAUUUGUGAUGCUCUCACCACAAGCCACUUUAUAACUCUCCUAGUUACAAAGGCCUUAAACUUAUGACUAAUCCUAGCCACAACAUAAACUCGAAAGUUUACGACCUUUUGGUUUUCCUAAGAAAGAGCUUCUAAGAAGGAAAAUUAGGAAAUACAAUGAAGAACAAAUAACAAGAUCACAAUUCAAAUACAGAUAUACAUAAGCUCAUUGUGAAACAGAUCCUCAGUGGAGUUGUCUUCUUGUUCAUGACACACCAGUGACUUUAAUAUCGGAUAAACACUAUUAUGCUUAAGAGAAUAUCGUUGAAUGCACAAAGAUGUUGUGUCUUGCACCAAGUUGUUAUAUCACAAAAGACAUCACAACAAAUAGUGAUGUCAACUCAUUGUACACGCUUCUUCCCAAUGAGAAGUGACUGCUGCACUAUCUGCACAGUCACUUUUGUGUUGUUACGUUCCAGCUGUAUAGUUGACUUGUACUUCUUUUAGAGAACAUUAAGAGACAAGGUCCCAGUUGUGUCCCUCUUUUGUAACAGUAGCGAGAUAGUCACUUUCUGCUGUUACAUUCGAGUUGUACAAUUGGCUUGUACUUCAGUCAGAGAACCCUAAGGGACCAGGUCCCUGUUGUGCUCCUCUUUAUAAUGAUUAUGGAUAGUCAUUGACUCGUACUUUUGUAAGAGAAACCUAAGGGACCGGAUCACGAGGUCCCUGUUGUGUUCCUCUUUGUGGGUUUUCAUUCAUUUGCUGGAGACCAGACUGGACAAUAUUCAUUUUGAAAUGUAUAUCCUGUGGUCAGGUUCUCUAUCUGUUUCUUCAAUAAGUUUGUUAGAUCAUCAAAAUAAAAGAAGCAUAAGGCAAAGACAUUGAAAACCCAUCACACAUUCUCUCUCACCAUGCUCAAUACCUAGCACACCUAGUCACUCAGCACUAUAGAAUACCUGCUAUGGUGUGAAACCUGAUCCACAUAUAGCCAUAAGGCCAUUGCGGUAUGCAACUUGAUCCACAUAUAUAUAGUCAUAAGGAUUUUUACAACGUGCAAACCGAUCCACAUAUAUAUAGCCAUAGGGCUCAUUGCUGCGUGCAACCCGAUCCACAUAUACAUAGCCAUAAAGCUCAUUGCGACGUGCAUAUAUAUAUAUAUAUAUAUAUAUAUAUAUAUAUAUUGCUAGGGAUGUGUGAAGACUUCGGAGGGCUCCUUCAACUCAAGCUCUACUAUAAAUUGAUAAAACCCACUAUGGCGUGCAGCCUGAUACCAUAAAUGCCACUCAUAAUCAGGCCCUCGACCUAACUCAGUCAUCAAUCUCUCCAAUUAUUUUCCUCUCGGCCUCACAGCAAGAAACGACCACUAUGGAUCCCAACAGUACUAGCAUAUAGCCUAAACAUGAUCUCUAGCAUGAUUGAUAAUUGAAUUACUUAAGUACGUAGAGAUUUCACGGUUAUAAAUAAGAUUAGGUAACUACACAGUACCACAAAAAUAAAUAGAGUCAUAACAUCAUAGUACAUGCCCACACGCUUGUCAGUUAGCAUGUGCGUUGCCUCAACACCAAACAUAUACCAUGUUUCAUACCCUCAACGCCAAGUUUAGAAGUGUUAUUUGCCUCGAACAAGAAAAUUCCAAUACCGAGCAAGCCAAGCGAUGCUCCAACAUGCCAUCACGCACGUACCGACCUUCAAACAGCUCAAAACUAGCCAAAAGGAACUCAAGUACAUCAAAUAAUAUCAAAGGAAAUAAAACCAAUCGAUAAAGGUCGAAUCUUUAAUCAAAAGCCCAAAAUCGGCCAAAAAGUCAAAACACGGGCCCGCACCUCUGGACCCGAUGUAACUCACAAAAUCUGACAACCCGUUCAAUUAAGAUUCUAACCAUACUAUUUUCAUUCGAAUCCAACUCCAAAUUAAUGUUCAAAACUCAAAAAUUCACAUUAUGAAACUUUAGUCUAAAACUGUCAAUUUCUCUUUUGGGACCUCAAUCAAAUGCCGGAAAUGAAGAUAAAUUCAUGAUAUAAAACCAAAAAUGAGUAGAGAACUCAUACUCCAGUCCACUUGGUGAAAAUUGCUUUGAGAAUCGCCUCAUGCCGAGCUCCAUAGCUCCUAAUAUGUAAAAAUGGCAGAAAUCCCCGAAAUAGAGUACUUUAUAAUUACCCAGGUAUCCUCUAAUGAGAACACGAAAAUCCAUCGCGUUCGCGAUGAACAAAAUAUACCGCCAUUAGAAUUACUCUAUGCGAUGGUAAAACUAUAGCAACCUACGCGAACGCGUAUAAGGACUCACAAACGUGAUGAAAAAUUUCGCCCAACCUUCAAACAACUCUACACGAUCUUGAUCCUUACUCCACAAUCGCGAUUAAGGAAACCAGAUACCUAGAAAUCAGUAGAAUAACAAUACAAAAAUGAAGGCAAAUGGUCCGAAAACAAUGCGAAACACGCUCGAGCCCCUCGGGACCACAUCUAACUGUACCAACAAGUCUCAUAACAUAACACAGACCUACUCAAGGACUCAAAUCACACCUAACAACACCAAAACGAUGAAUCAUACCCAAACUUGAAGAACUUUGAAAUUUUCAAUUUCCAUAACUUGUAUCGAAACAUAUCAAACCAACCCGGAAUGAACCCAAAAUUUUCACACAAGUCCCAAAUAACAUAAAGAAGCUAUUCUAAUUCCCAAAACCACAAGUCGAACCCGUAUCAUCAAUGUCAACUGUCAAUCAAACUUAUGAACUUUCCAAACCUUCAAAUUCCUAUUUUUCGCCAAUUAGUGCCGAAUUCUUCUAGUUACAUCCAAUUACAAAUUCGGCCAUACUCCCGAGUCCAAAAUCACCAUCCAAACCUAACAGAACCAUCAAAACUCCGAUUCGAGGUCAAAUUCUAACAAGUCAAGUUUGGUAAACUCUUCCAACUUAAAGCUUAAACCAUGAAAUUUAUUCUUUUGAAUCAACUCUGAAUAUCCUAAAAACCAAGACUGAUGAUUCAUAUAAGUUAUAAUACAUCAUACGGAGCUAUUCACGCCCAUAAACUACUGAACAAAGUACAAAUGCUCAAAAUGGUCGGUCGACUCGUUAAAUCCUCCUCCACUUGAAAACACAUUUGCCCUCCAACGUGUCCACGAUUUGUAUUUAGCUGUCAGAUCACUAUGUAACCUUACCAUGUACAUACCUAGGGGUGAUCCUACGUCACCCUAAUCCAUAUAAGCCUAACAACACAGCAUAACCGAAGAUCAUUACUCUAACCUUAGAAUCCAAUUUCCAUAUCUAGAAUUCCUUACAAUACAUGAAUCUUGCACCUACACACUAUAUAAAUCUAAAUAAGUUGUAUCAAGCCAUAUCCAUAACCCAAGAUGUCACAUAACUCAGAUGCUUAUGACAAUAACUUCUGACCACAACAACUCUUCAAAAAACAAAUAAUACUGGUGAUGAACAACAUAUCGAACAAAGGCUCAUUCUAAAACCGUACACUGCAAAUCAUGAAAGAAAAAUGCAAGACUAAGAACCACUCAUAAGACCAACUAAUAAUGGCGCCCUCUCUCGUCCAAUCAAAACCAAAGCAAAAUCUUAAGCUGACUUUCGACAUUAUUCCUCCAAACAUACUGUAAUAAUAUUCGAUAGCAUCCAUUUUAGGUCCAAUGACCUCAUCUUGUCAAAUAUAGUCACCCUACUGACUUGCCAUAUUAAUACAACCAUAAGCCACAAAUCGUGUAAUCCGUGCACUAAUACAUAACAAUUCUAGUGUACUCAAACAUAAAAAAUAACUCAAAUGAGAGAACCGUCUCACAAGCUCAACAAGUACCACCACAACGCUAUGCUAAAAGCCCAUCACACACUGUAGAAAAAAAAUGCUUGAAUCAAUCACAGAGGAUCAUAUCUUGACAUAUGCUAGCUGCAAUGCAUGACCCCAUCCAAACAAUGGUCCAUGUAUAAUACCUUCAACCAAACUUCUCAAAACCAACGACCACACGUAAUUCGACAUCCAAUAACCAAGGUGCAUGACUAUAACCAUGGAGGAACCAAUAAAACAAUGCCACAAACGGACUUCAAUAGCUAGAACUUAAAAAUUUAACCUAAAAUGUGAUUUCCGUCUAUUAUAGUGGAUCCAAAUUUGCUGAUAAAAAUACCCAUCGGAAGGUUCUACGGCCACAAAAUUCUAUGUACAGUCCACACAAUGCUUAAGUUUGCAGGAGAUUGGAUUCUGCAGUCGCACAAUUUGGUCUACAUCUGCUAUUUAUCUUUUGCAUCCACACAAUUGUGUGCGGCUCGCACUUUAGGCAAGGCUUCAGUCUUGGUAAUUUGCACACUCUUUGAACUUUUUGAAUUCUUGCCAGUACUGACCAUGUUCUGGGGCCGCACAAAUUGUGUGCGGUACGCACUUCUACUUCAAGUGCUACUACACUUCUUCAUCAAUUCUGCAGCCACAGAGAGAAUUUUGCAGUCUGCACUUGCUUCUACGGCCGCAAAAAUACUUCUACGACCGCACUUCUAGUUUGUUGAGCCCCUUUUUGCCUUGUGAUUUGGAACAUUCUUUUUUGAGUCAGAUUUCUUCAUUUUAGCUCAAUUCUCAAACAUUCCUACAAUUUACACACUUUCAUUUGCAUUUGAAACGUAAAUCAAUACUUUCAAACUAAAACAAAAAUAAAAGGGUACUAAUAAGUGGUCAAAAUCCGCACUUAUCAACUCUCCCAAACUUAAGUCUUUGCUUGUCCUCGGACAGAUAGAUUAGUUCCCACCUCCUCUAAGUAAAAGCCAUUUCAGGGAGACAAUGG
rnacentral:lncRNA from 1 species